CCCAUUCAUCCCCAUUCUGGACCCUCAGAACCAGUAUGGAACCAGUGUGAACCCUCAAAACCAGUCUGGAACCAGUCUGGACCCUCAGAACCAGUCUGAACCCUCAGAAAUAAUCUGGACCUUCAGAACCAGUCUGGACCCUCAGAACCAAUCUGGACCUUCAGAACCAGUCUGAACCCUCAGAACCAGUCUGGACCCUCAGAACCAUCCUGAACCCUGAGAACCAGUCUGAACCCUCAAAACGAGUCUGGAACCAGUCUGAACCCUCAAAACCAGUCUGGACCCUCAGAACCAGUCUGGACCCUCAGAACCAGUC